UUAGACCAACUGUGGAUAAUAAGCCACCAUCAAAGGGAAAGAACAGGACUGGUAUUAUUGUUGGCGUCAUUGUUGGCUUAGGACUUUUGAGCAUCCUUGCGGGUGUUGGUAUCUUUAUCAUACGAAAAAGAAGAAAUCCGUACACUGAUGAUGACGGUAAUAAGAACUCUUUUUUUCUUUCUUGAGCUGAAAAUGUUUUGGCAUCAAACUGGAAUAUUCAUCUUUCAGAUUGCUUCAUUUUAAGAACUGUUCUUUUUUUUUCUCGCAGAGCUGCUUAGUAUGGAAAUAAAGCCUUUCACAUUUACUUAUUCGGAACUUAAAAGUGCAACUCAAGAUUUCAAUCUCUCAAACAAGCUUGGAGAGGGUGGGUUUGAGCCUGUUUAUAAGGUACAAACUCAAAUGGUUCAGUUUUCUUUAAAAAUCUCACAAGUCGUGGACCUCUUGAUAAGAAAGUUAUCCAGUGGCUCCUAUCACUUCACCAGAUUGGUCUUGAUGUGAACCGUACAGACAGGUCUUUGGAAUUUUAUGAGAAAAAGGAGAAUCUGUCCAAGCUUUGGGAUAUUCUCUCUGUUUAUGCCUGGAUAGACCAAGAUGUCGAUUACUGUCAAGGAAUGAGUGAUCUUUGUUCUCCAAUGAUUGUUGUUCUUGAAGACGAAGCUGAUUCAUUCUUUUGUUUUGAGAGAUUAAUGUGUCGAUUGCGAGGAAACUUCCGGAGCACGGGGAGAUCUGUUGGAGUUGAAGCUCAACUUACUCAUUUGUUUUCAAUUACUCAUAUUAUUGACACCAAGCUUCACCAACAUCUAGAUAAACUGGGGGGAGGUGACUAUCUCUGUGCUAUUCGGAUUGUUCUACUUCAUGUGAUAGUUUAGUCGGAUCAAAGUUGUGGUGAAAGUGACUAGCAGCUCGGAUGAAAAUUGUCGUGUGACCACAGAAGGCACACUAACAAGAAGGUUCUGGCGCGUAAACAAAGUUGUGGUGAAAGUGACUAGCAGCUCGGAUUCUGACUCUGUCAGUGACAGUGGAGAGAAGAGAAGAAGUAAGGUACAAAGAAACGAAUUAUAAUCAAAAGAAUUGUAUCUUCUGAAUCUGAAGUUGAGAGUGACAACAAGUCGACAACAAUAAACUUAGCAAGUCAGACAAAAAGAGUCGACCCUCCAACCAAUGUGGUUCGAAAGAAGUCAGGAACAAACAUGAUGAACAAAGAACAGGUGGGAAGAAGAGGUAUGAUUCUGAUGCUACCGAG